GGCUGAGCACCCUACUGGAGAAGACAUCAUCACAGUGUGGCGGGUGGUGCUUGGAAUGGGAAAUAGAAGAGGAUCAAUGACAACCCUCGCCUUACAAUUUUAUCUCGAGUCAUUGUCAAAGCUUUAUUUCAUUUUCCUUUUUAUUAUAUCCUGAACUCCUAAGUGUUCAGGAUGGCUUUUUUUUUCUUUUUUUGGCUUUUCAUGUUUUGUACUCAGUCUGGUACAAACUGAACACAAACCUGAUGAAGCAGUGGACGCAGCUGGAUGAGAGUUUUGGAGGAGGCUGGCAGGAGGUGACAGAAGCAGUUUGCUUCGGUGGGAUCCAGUGUCCAUCCACUGUCACGCAGAGGACGCCUGGUGGUAGAAGGCAUGAGGAGCUGAAGGCAUGAGGAGCUGCGUUGUUGGUGGCAGGGUCUACCUUGAAACCAGUUCCUGUGAAGAAUGUUGCCCCAACAUCAAGAAGGCACAAGUGGGGGCACUUGUGUGGCUCAGUGGCUGAGUGUCUGCCUUUGGCUGAGGUCAUGAUCUCUGGGUCCUGGGAUCAAGUCCCACAUUGGGCACGGAGCCUGCUUCUCCCUCUGCCUGUGUCUCUGCCUCUCUCUGGGUCUCUCAUGAAUAAAUAAAUAAAUAAAAUGUUUAAAAAAGAAGAA
rnacentral:lncRNA from 12 species